rnacentral:rRNA from 1 species
AUUGAACGCUGGCGGCAGGCCUAACACAUGCAAGUCGAACGAGUGGCGGACGGGUGAGUAAUGUCUGGGAAACCGCCUGAUGGAGGGGGAUAACUACUGGAAACGGUCGCUAAUACCGCAUACCAUCAGAAGUGCCCAUCUGGGAGUAGCUAGUUGGUGGGGUAACGGCUCACCAACACGACGAACCCUAGCUGGUCUGUGAGGAUGACCAGCCACACUGGAACUGAGACACGGUCCCGACUCCUACGGGAGGCAGCAGUGGGGGAGAUUAGACAAUGGGCGCAAGCCAGAUGCAGACAUGCCGCGUGUAUGAAGAAAGCCUUCGGGUUGUAAAGUACUUUCAGCGGGGAGGCGUUACCCGCAGAAGAAACACCGGCUAACUCCGUGCCAGCAGCCGCGGUAAUUC